CUGACUUACUUAAAAGGUUUUCCUUCAAAUCAUAGUUUUGCACAGAUCCUUCAAAACGUAGUUUUGCACAGAAUACUGAGUUCUGUGUUUCCAUCAGCAUUAACAAAGUCCGGUUUAGUAUUUAACAUAAUCUGCUCAAAGAAGUCCUAUUACCCUGCAUACUUAGAGAGACAUCAUCUGAUAGGAAAUGGCUGCAAUACCUCCAGCUUUCCUAAAUACUGACAGUUUCAACCGUUUCUUAAGAAAUACUUACUCACUGGGGACUGCAGCUCUAAACAGAUGCUUCUGCUUUAAAAUACAAUCAUUUUCUUUAGCUUAAAUGGAUGACUCCUUACAAAUAAAGCAGUGGUAUGGCCUGGCAUAACACUGAAGGUCACCCAAAGAAAUGAGUGACCACCAGACAUUAUUCCACAAGGUAUCUCUGCAUAGUGUUUUUCUCCCUCUGCUACCUUACUGUUACCAUCCAUGAUUUCUUAAGGACCAUGACAUUUUUCCUUCAAGUAUUUCAUUCCAGCACUGGAAACAUUGUUUUCCUUCAAAGGACAAUUUCUGCCUUGAAACGCUAGCAACCAUUUACAGUUUUUCACAUUUGAAAAUCUGCUCCUGAUGAAACACGAGUGGGGCAAAAGUGUCCACAGGUGUCCACUGUGCACUCAAAAUAACAGAUUUAGCGAUAAGGGGAAAAAAUAAACCUCUUUGCAUCCUUCCAGGUCUUACAAUGGCAUUUACAUGACAAUGGAAAGAAGAAAGUGGUGAAUUGGCAGAAGUAACGUGGAAGACAUGGUUUAUUUUUUCUUAGCUCCUAUGAGAGGCCUGAAUUCUGGUCUGUUCAGCCCAGCACAGAAGCCAAGGAAGGGAUGGGCUGGAGGGUUUGCUCUACUUUCUCUUCUGUUAAAGCUGAGGACAAGACUAAAAGUUAAUAUAACAGCGAAUCUUUGCUGAGAGCCGAUGCGAUGACAGCUGUGCCCCGUGUAUCCGCACGCCACUCAGCGCGGAUGCUUUCAAACCUGCCCAUUUGUGUGUAUGUACGUGCUUAAUUUUGGUAAGCGCGAAAAUACUAAUGCGUGAACGUAACCUCCCUGAAUUCUGUACACACCAAUUCAGCUGACCAUUCACAUCAGCAUGUGCCCUUUGGAAAGUCUGUCCUUGAAUGUCUGUCCUGUUGCUUUUUCUUUGCUACUUCUCUUCAAUGUUUGUGCCUGGACUUGAACACUUGUGCCACGUCAAAGUGCCCUAGUUAGACUAAGUCCUGCUUCUUCCUUAAAACUGUACCCACUGGGUAGGAUUCACUUUGCAAAUUGCUCUGGAUUUGAUAAAUGCAACUUACUUCUUGUGUGGAACAAAUUUGGAACUAUUAUGUCCAUGCACAUUUUUAAAAUUCACAGGCGAGUUCUACAAAUUAUUUGUUUUACUGUUACUUAGCAUCUAUGAAUCUAAAAGCAUUUCAUAGAUAUCACUCACUGGUCAUUUCAUUAAUUAUGAUUUAGCUUGUUAUUAAUGUUUCCAUUUCUCAGAAGCAGAAGCUGCCGUGUGGGUAACUCAAAGAAGAGCCAUCGUUUUCAGAAGGGUUCAACAUGCAUAAUUGGCUUCUGAUUUCUAGAAGAACUCACCUUGCUGAGGGCUCAGCUCUUCUAAAAAAGUCUGGCUACAAGGGUCAGAAAGAAACUAUUAAAAUGCCUGACACCUAUUAAUCUACUCCUCUUUUAGGGAAAUGCAACAGGAAAGAACAAAAGUAAAGCUCCCAGUUGAGAAAGCACAGCAUGUGCAGCUUCACUGCAACAGGCAGCAAAAGGUCUAAGAACAAAAAGGACUACUGAGACCUGCACACACAGAGAUCCUCAUACAUUAGCUCAGAGAACCAAAGGUAGAGCGCUGUGUGCUACGCAAGUGUUUGGAAGUGAUGUAUGUCUGACAGAGAUGACAUGAGCAAGGAGACAAUCUGGGCCAGCGUUCCAAACACUGGGACUCCAGACUCAUGAAACGUCUGCCAGGGUCUGCUACUGAGUUAUUGUGUAAUCUUGGGUGAGUCAUUUAAAUUCUUUAUGCGCUAAUUUCACCAGCCUAUAAAAUAGGUGUAAUCCUCCCCCAUUUACCUCAGACAGCAAAAAUAUCUAUAAAACAUCUUAGAUGACAUGUUAUGUUCAGGCAAAUUUUUCUUCAGUAAGAAAUUCUCUGUAUGAGCUCUAUUUGUCCACAGAUCUUUUCGUCCUGCAAAUUCCUGCCCCCAGACACACACAUACAGUCACAUCAGUUCUGCCUGAGAGAUGAGAUGAACAUGCCUUUACUGUGAAAUCAAAAACAUCAUUCUGCUCCUAUAACUGCGGAAGAGAAAUUAAAUUAACUAUCAAACUUCAAGUCUUUUCAAGGAGACUGCAUGGGUCCAAAUCUUGCUUGUCUUAAUCAAGUGAGAAGCCCCAGUAAAAGUCAGUAGGAUACUU